rnacentral:misc_RNA from 1 species
AGAACACUUAAUAAUGCCUCUAUAUUUAAGAGAAUGAAUGUUAUCAAAGGAAACAAGGUCCAGAUGAGAAAAGGAUGGAGGAGGUUGAUUUCUCUCUCCCCAGAAAAGUUGCUUCAGCAGUGGUGUCAUCAUCAGGCAUAUCAAUAAAAUAAUUAGAAACACCAGAUUCUUUGGAAUUAUCAGCCAUAAGAUGAGGAGAAAUUAGUGAAAAUAAUAUUUUUUUGAGUAUUUUAUAGAACUGUCUCAGAAUUCUUCAAAAGAAGUGUUUUGGGCCUUGAAGAUCAAUCAAAGAGAGAUGAAGCAAAGUGUCUUCCACGUAAGUUUGAAGAGAAGUGCUUUUUGGAUUUGUUUCUUGCAUCAUCAUUGAUUGUUCAGCAAGGAUCAAGGAGAUUUUAAGGAAGCUUUUCUGCUUCAAAAGACCAAGCCAAUAAGGAGGACAUUUUCAUAGGGAAAAAGGAGGAAGUAUAUGCUACAGGCACAGAAGGCCUGUGAGAUCAGGAAGUAGGGCUAGGAGUUUUUUCUGAUUUGGGCCUUUAUAAAAUAAUUCAUAAAAAAGACUGAAUUAUUCAAGUUCAAAGGUUGUACAUAGCAG